rnacentral:rRNA from 1 species
AGAGAGAGACAUGCGCGCAUAUCAAUAAGCGGAGGAAAAGAAACUAACAAGGAUUCCCUUAGUAACGGCGAGUGAAGCGGGAAGAGCUCAAAUUUGAAAUCUUCAAGGUUUUUACCUUGACGAAUUGUAGUUUAAAGAAGUGUUUUUCUGCUGAAGUUUUUGGUAAAAGUUCUUUGGAAUAGGACAUCAUAGAGGGUGAGAAUCCCGUAUUUGACCAUUAUUUUUCAGCUUUGUGAUACACUUUCAAAGAGUCGGAUUGUUUUGGGAAUGCAGUCCAAAAUGGGUGGUAAAUUUCAUCUAAAGCUAAAUAUUGGCGAGAGACCGAUAGCGAACAAGUACCGUGAGGGAAAGAUGAAAAGAACUUUGAAAAGAGAGUUAAAACAGUACGUGAAAUUGUCCAAAAGGGAAGCGUUUUGACACCAGUGUUGUUUUUCUCGAAAAUCAAUUAAAAAAUGGCUCGAUUUUUGUAUUGCUGAGACCUUAAAAGCUCACUGUACAUUUUUUCGUGUCUUUUUUUAAUGCACUUUUUCGUUUAACAAGUCAACAUCAGUUUUCUUUUGUUGUAAAAGGGUCAUUGGAAGGUGGCUUUUCUUUUCGGAGAAAGUGUUUUAUAGCCUUUGGCCUCUGCAAUCGAAGAGACUGAGGUCUGCAGCGUAGACUCUUCGGGGUUAGAUACAUUUGUGCUAAGUUAUAGCUUUUUAUAGACAACUUGUUGACUAUAAUUAGUCUUGUAGCUUACUCGCUUAUGCUAUUUUACCUACGCUUAGGAUGUUGAAGAUGUAGCACAUCAU